GCCGCCUUAGCUCAGUUGGUAGAGCGCCGGCUUUGUAACCCGAAGGUCAUCGGUUCGAUUCCGAUAGGCGGCUCCA
rnacentral:tRNA from 1 species